GAUGAACGCUGGCGGCAGGCUUAACACAUGCAAGUCGAGCGAGCGGCGGACGGGUGAGUAAUGUCUGGGAAACUGCCUGAUGGAGGGGGAUAACUACUGGAAACGGUAGCUAAUACCGCAUACCAUCAGAUGUGCCCAGAUGGGAUUAGCUAGUAGGUGGGGUAAUGGCUCACCUAGGCGACGAUCCCUAGCUGGUCUGAGAGGAUGACCAGCAACACGGGAACGGAGACAAGUUCCAGAAUCCUACGGGAGGCAGAAGUGGGGAAUAUUGCAAAAUGGGCGCAAGCGUGAUGCAGCCAUGCCGCGUGUGUGAAGAGGGCCUUCGGGUUGUAAAGCACUUGCAGCGAGGAGGCGUUACUCGAAGAAGAAGCACCGGCUAACUCCGUGCCAGCAGCCGCGGUAAUUC
rnacentral:rRNA from 1 species